rnacentral:rRNA from 1 species
UACGUAGGGUGCAAGCGUUAAUCGGAAUUACUGGGCGUAAAGCGUGCGCAGGCGGUUAUGUAAGACAGGUGUGAAAUCCCCGGGCUUAACCUGGGAACUGCAUCUGUGACUGCAUAGCUAGAGUACGGUAGAGGGGGAUGGAAUUCCGCGUGUAGCAGUGAAAUGCGUAGAUAUGCGGAGGAACACCGAUGGCGAAGGCAGCCCCCUGGGCCAAAACUGACGCUCAGGCACGAAAGCGUGGGGAGCAAACAGG